AGCCGAAACGGUGGGUUUAAACGCCCACUGUCUGCCGGGAUUGGUCGCCCGGUACUGAUGAUGGCAGACCGUG
rnacentral:hammerhead_ribozyme from 1 species